rnacentral:rRNA from 1 species
AAAACUUUCAACAACGGGUCUCUUGGUUCUGGCAUCGAUGAAGAACGCAGCAAAAUGCGAUAAGUAAUGUGAAUUGCAGAAUUCAGUGAAUCAUCGAAUCUUUGAACGCACAUUGCGCCCGCCAGUAUUCUGGCGGGCAUGCCUGUUCGAGCGUCAUUUCAACCCUCAAGCACAGCUUGGUGUUGGGACUCGCGUUAAUUCGCGUUCCUCAAAUUGAUUGGCGGUCACGUCGAGCUUCCAUAGCGUAGUAGUAAAACCCUCGUUACUGGUAAUCGUCGCGGCCACGCCGUUAAACCCCAACUUCUGAAUGUUGACCUCGGAUCAGGUAGGAAUACCCGCUGAACUUAAGCAUAUCAAUAAGCGGAGGAAAAGAAACCAACAGGGAUUGCCCUAGUAACGGCGAGUGAAGCGGCAACAGCUCAAAUUUGAAAUCUGGCUCUCGGGCCCGAGUUGUAAUUUGUAGAGGAUACUUUUGAUGCGGUGCCUUCCGAGUUCCCUGGAACGGGACGCCAUAGAGGGUGAGAGCCCCGUCUGGUUGGAUGCCAAAUCUCUGUAAAGUUCCUUCAACGAGUCGAGUAGUUUGGGAAUGCUGCUCUAAAUGGGAGGUAUAUGUCUUCUAAAGCUAAAUACCGGCCAGAGACCGAUAGCGCACAAGUAGAGUGAUCGAAAGAUGAAAAGCACUUUGAAAAGAGAGUUAAAAAGUACGUGAAAUUGUUGAAAGGGAAGCGUUUAUGACCAGACUUGGGCUUGGUUAAUCAUCUGGGGUUCUCCCCGGUGCACUCUUCCGGCUCAGGCCAGCAUCAGUUCGCCCUGGGGGAUAAAGGCUUCGGGAAUGUGGCUCUCUCCGGGGAGUGUUAUAGCCCGCUGCGUAAUACCCUGUGGCGGACUGAGGUUCGCGCAUUCGCAAGGAUGCUGGCGUAAUGGUCAUCAGUGACCCGUCUUGAAACACGGACC